AUUCACAGGUUCCAGGAAUUAGGAGACAGACAUCUGUGGGGAGGGGCAAUAUUCAGCCAAACUUGCAGGCAAGCACAAAUCUAGGAAUCCAGAAAACAGGGUUGGGGCAGGGAGAGCCCCCAGGCAGGAUGGCAGGGGUUGGCUUUCUGGAGGGAAAGGUCUCCAGCUGAGCCAUGAAGGACAGAUCAAAUUGGGGGAUAAGAGCGUAAGUUUUGGAGUCAGGCAAAGCUGAAGCCUUGAUUUCCUUAUUUGUAUAUUAGUAUAGUGUCCAUUUCAUAGGGUUAUUUUGAGGAUUCAAUCAGAUAAUGUAUGUAAAGGGCCUGGCAUGUGCUGAGCAUGCCGUGUGACUAAAAUCUAGGACACGAAACAGCAGACAGAGGAUUUCGGAAACAUCAGAGAUGACAACCAGCUUAACUGCUCAUUUCAGACUAUUGCCCUCAAGGCUAAAAGGACACAGCAAAAGAGAAAUUGUGGGGGGGAAAAAUGUAGUGUCCUAAGAGUGACCAUGAAAACAAACUUCGUGCCAUUCUCCUUCCCAGAAGUUGUGAGCUCCACAUCCAGAGGUCCCAGUCUCCUGCCAACCGUACGUGGCUAUUUCCGUUUAGAAUCAAAGAUGCUUGGGGUGUAGUCCAGCCAAAGGAAAUGCUUAUGACCACGAUCAGGAAACCGUUUCCACAACAACCCAGUGCCAAGCGGCAGCCCAGCAGCGGUCAUCUUGGGCCACGCCUGGGGAGCUGGCUAUUGUCCUCCCCCUACCGUGACAGAGCACUCCUCCUCAGGUUUCCUCAGACAUUGUUUUCUUUUAGAACGUUGGGUUGGGUUCAUGAGAAAAAGAAGCCUGACAGGGACUGUUUGUUAUAAUCCCAGUGGUGGCUGGUCGACUGGACUGUGACUCCUGGUGACCACCUCCUAAAUGUGCAAAGCCAAUGAGUUUGGGGUUUGAUGCUGCUGAAUGUUUAUGUUACCCCCAAAGUUCAUGUGUUGAAACCUAGUCCCCAAGGUGAUGGUUUGGAGGUGAGGCUUUGGGAAGGCUAUUAGGUCAUGAGGGCAGAGCCUCAUAAAAAGGAUUAACUGCCUAAUGAAAAGGACCCCAAAGACAGCCCUCGCCCACAGGAGGACACAGCAACAAGACAACAAUCUGUGAACCUGGAAGAGGACCCCCACCAGACACUAUAUCUGCCAGUGCCUUGCUUUUGGUCAUACUGGGCUGCUGGGGGUGGGGCAGGAAGGGGAGUGGACCUCCUUCUUAGGUGACAUGAUUUUUCCAGCAAUUAGAUGAAACUGAUGGAAGCAGGCCCAGAUAUCAGCAUAUUUCCUGAAGCCUUGAGUUGGACAGUUCUCCUGGUUGCAUAAACUUCAAGAUCAGUUACAAGCACAGGUGUUUCCCACUGAGAGCUGAUUUCCUUGUCUCUGGACCAGAUGAAGUGGUGGAAUGGGGUCCCUAAUAAAGUCCAGAUUGACCCUUUUGUACAGGGCAAUGAC
rnacentral:lncRNA from 1 species